rnacentral:rRNA from 1 species
AGCGAACGCUGGCGGCAUGCUUAACACAUGCAAGUCGCACGGGCAGGGGUAACUCUGUCAGUGGCGGACGGGUGAGUAACGCGUAGGUAUCUAUCCUUGGGUGGGGGACAACCGUGGGAAACUACGGCUAAUACCGCAUGAUGACUGAGGUCCAAAGGCGCAAGUCGCCUGGGGAGGAGCCUGCGUUCGAUUAGCUAGUUGGUGGGGUAAAGGCCUACCAAGGCUGUGAUCGAUAGCUGGUCUGAGAGGAUGAUCAGCCACACUGGGACUGAGACAC